UACGUAGGGUGCGAGCGUUAAUCGGAAUUACUGGGCGUAAAGCGUGCGCAGGCGGUUCGUUAAGUCAGCUGUGAAAGCCCCGGGCUCAACCUGGGAACGGCAGUUGAAACUGGCGGGCUGGAGUGUGGCAGAGGGGGGUGGAAUUCCAGGUGUAGCGGUGAAAUGCGUAGAUAUCUGGAGGAACACCGGUGGCGAAGGCGGCUUCCUGGACCGACACUGACGCUGAGGCGCGAAAGCCAGGGGAGCAAACGGG
rnacentral:rRNA from 1 species